AUGGAGGUGAUGAAUAUUUCCCCAAAUGAUCGACGCUGAAUAAACUGAGCGAUUGUUAAAUCUCUUGUGAGAUUCCAAGCCAGAAUUCUGAUCCAU
rfam:Jatropha curcas cultivar GZQX0401 scaffold285_25, whole genome shotgun sequence.